rnacentral:rRNA from 1 species
AACGAACGCUGGCGGCAUGCCUAACACAUGCAAGUCGAACGAAGACUUCGGCCUUAGUGGCGCACGGGUGCGUAACGCGUGGGAAUCUGCCCUUUGGUUCGGAAUAACAGCUGGAAACGGCUGCUAAUACCGGAUGAUGACGAAAGUCCAAAGAUUUAUCGCCAGAGGAUGAGCCCGCGUUGGAUUAGGUAGUUGGUGGGGUAAAGGCCUACCAAGCCGACGAUCCAUAGCUGGUCUGAGAGGAUGAUCAGCCACACUGGGACUGAGACACGGCCCAGACUCCUACGGGAGGCAGCAGUGGGGAAUAUUGGACAAUGGGCGCAAGCCUGAUCCAGCAAUGCCGCGUGAGUGAUGAAGGCCCUAGGGUUGUAAAGCUCUUUUACCCGGGAAGAUAAUGACGGUACCGGGAGAAUAAGCCCCGGCUAACUCCGUG